rnacentral:rRNA from 1 species
GAUGAACGCUGGCGGCGUGCCUAAUACAUGCAAGUCGAGCGAACGGACGAGAAGCUUGCUUCGCUGAUGUUAGCGGCGGACGGGUGAGUAACACGUGGAUAACCUACCUAUAAGCCUGGGAUAACUUCGGGAAACCGGAGCUAAUACCGGAUGAUAUUUUGAACCGCAUGGUUCAAAAGUGAAAGACGGUCUUGCUGUCACUUAUAGAUGGAUCCGCGCUGCAUUAGCUAGUUGGUAAGGUAACGGCUUACCAAGGCAACGAUGCAUAGCCGACCUGAGAGGGUGAUCGGCCACACUGGAACUGAGACACGGUCCAGACUCCUACGGGAGGCAGCAGUAGGGAAUCUUCCGCAAUGGGCGAAAGCCUGACGGAGCAACGCCGCGUGAGUGAUGAAGGUCUUCGGAUCGUAAAACUCUGUUAUUAGGGAAGAACAUAUGUGUAAGUAACUGUGCACAUCUUGACGGUACCUAAUCAGAAAGCCACGGCUAACUACGUG